rnacentral:lncRNA from 1 species
UUCUUCCUACUUUGCUUCUUUCUAUUUUUUUCGUCAUAAUUAAACGAUUCGUUCAUCCUAAGGGAUUAUACGCAAAUUACACGCUAAGGACUUGAAGACGCUCAUAUUCCACAAUCCAAACGACUCAUCAAAAUAGGGGUGAAUCCCGCCUUUGGUGACGAAUUUCAAUCUAUCCAUCAUGUUAUUUUGCACGAAAUUUACCACCAAGUCAGGAGUGACAUCCCUAUCUUGAUGGAAAUUUCCACUUUAUAUUCUCGUGGAUCCCUGUUGACGACUCAAGAUCAUAUCUUGUUUCGUUCAAUAAACCACAUUAUGGGGACGAAAUUGUCAAGCUAGGAUUGAUAUCCACACCUUGAUGACUGGUUCCAUUCUUCGAUUUUCAAUCUCGUCAAAGUUUCGUAUUUUCGAUCGAAUUAGGGACAUGUAUUAACCAGAAGGGUAAAAUACCGCUACUCGCCUGUCGACGAGAGUAUUUUACCUAUUAGGCCAAAGCAUGCCUCCGUAAUUCGAAAGGACUUACGGGUCACUUUGGAAUAGUCGAAGUUUCUAAACCCGAAACGUUCCAAUAUUUUAUCAAACCCCUCUUUUAUGCUAUCUCAACAUUUAUGUGAUUUAAUACUUGUUAUCUCGUUCAUUUCAAAACCAAUGUUAUACUAAAAUCGAAUUAUCAUCCAACCAUUCAAUACAUACAUACUAAUAGUUAUACUUGGUUCGGGAUUACUGGGUGAUUCUUAUGUGAUAAACUUGUCAUUAACUUUGAUCAAAGCCACAACUUAACAUGUAUAGCGCUUGUGUAGCGCUAUAGGAGUAGCGCCCGCCCGUAUUCUUGAGGUCAUGUUAAGACAUUUUGCGCGCUAUAGGAGUAGCGCCCGCCCGUAUUCUUGAGGUCAUGUUAAGACAUUUUGCGGUACACGAUGGAUUGACCUGUUUAUUCGCAUGCCAGUAAUGCGUUAAUCUUGAUUAACUAAAGUAUGUCGUGUGGAUUGUUCAAUGAUUUUUUUUACAUAUGCUAAUGCUAGUUAUACUUGAUUCGGGAUUUCUGGAACAUUCUUAUGUGAUAAACCUGUCAUUAACUUCGCAAGAAGCCACACCUUAACAUGUAUAACGCUUGUGUAGCGCUAUAGGAGUAGCGCACCGCCCGUAUUCUAGUGGUCAUGUUAAGUUAACAACAUUACACCCUUUUCGUUGCGACGAUGUGGGGUAGUCAACAUUGCGGUACACGAUGGUUUGACAUGUUUACUCACAUGCCAGUAAUACGUUAAUCUUGGUUAACUAAGUAUAUCAUGUGAUUGUUC